GGCCAAGUAGCUCAGUUGGUAGAGCAGAGGACUGAAAAUCCUCGUGUCGGUGGUUCGAUUCCGCCCUUGGCCACCA
rnacentral:tRNA from 1 species